AGAGUAAAUACCUAGAUUUGGAUUGCUGGGAUAUUUGAUGCAGUUGACCUUCCGGAUCCACAUAUACUAUGUUUGUAAUCCGUGGUUGGUUGAAUCUUCGGAUGGAGUCGACUAAAGGACUAGAGCGUCCGUGGAUUUUGGUAUCUGCAGGGGCGUCCUGGAACCAAUCCUCCACGGAGUUCUGCUGGAAGUUGAUUCUGCCAGUUUUUGCUCGGUUUUCAGUUUUUCUGUAGGAGAACAACAGCUUGGAGCUGCCUACUUCACCAUUUUGCUGACGUCCUUCCUCCAUCACUUCUUAUUGUCUCAAUAUGCUUUAUUCAUGUUUUUCAUUGAACUUACCAUGACCCUGACAUUAUAUUCUGGAUUUAUUUUUGGAUUUGUUGACUUAUUAUUUAUUCCCCUCACUAUGAUACUGUAGUAUCCUAGUCCAAAAGGACACUGUAGUAAACUUUUGAUGAACAAAAUAUAUUUGAUUUAAAGGUAUGUCCUUUAUUUAGUUGCUAAUUUGUGCAAAAAUUGUAAAAAAUUAUGUAAAAAUUGGGGAAAUUUAAAUACUGUUUGGAUAUUUGAUGAUAUUAAGAAAUUAUUGUUAAAAUUUUUAGAUAGUCUAUGGCAUUGUGGUUAUUAUUUAUUAAAAAGAGUCCUUAUAUUUUAAAGAUAUGAAUUCAAAUAUUUCUGGAAUAAAUGAUGUCUGAGAUUUGCUUCAAAGUAAUCUGGGAUGAGAAGUGCAUUGGGGGUAUAGAUGUGAGAAGAUUGGCCAUGAAUUGAUAAUUGUUAAGCUGGGUGAUG
rnacentral:lncRNA from 1 species